CAGCAGCCGUGGUAAUACAGAGGGUGCGAGCGUUAAUCGGAUUUACUGGGCGUAAAGCGUGCGUAGGCGGCUUUUUAAGUCGGAUGUGAAAUCCCUGAGCUUAACUUAGGAAUUGCAUUCGAUACUGGGAAGCUAUAGUAUGGGAGAGGAUGGUAGAAUUCCAGGUGUAGCGGUGAAAUGCGUAGAGAUCUGGAGGAAUACCGAUGGCGAAGGCAGCCAUCUGGCCUAAUACUGACGCUGAGGUACGAAAGCAUGGGGAGCAAACAGGAUUAGAUACCCCAGUAGUCCCUGUCUCUUAUAC
rnacentral:rRNA from 1 species